AGGUCUGCGCCGUAGGCCCUACCCUAGCUACUUACUAGUAGUAGUAGUAGUAGCAGCUCCGACGAUCCGUCCGUCGUCGUCAACCUCCGAUCUCAAGCUCCUUCUAGACAGGACUACUGAAUGCUGACUCCAUUGUUUUCGUUUCGCAGCAAGGUGCCGACAGGCAGCUGUGGUUCGCGUCCAAGCAGUCCCUCUCCUACCUCGAUGGCACGUACGUACCUCUGCUCACACGCACGCACGCACGCAGCAAAACCUUCUACUAGCAAUGGCAAUCUAGUACACAACACAUAUGCUCACCGGCGUCAUUGCUGCAGGCUGCCCGGCGACUAUGGAUUCGACCCGCUGGGGCUCUCGGACCCGGAGGGCACCGGCGGCUUCAUCGAGCCCAAGUGGCUGGCCUACGGCGAGGUGAUCAACGGGCGCUUCGCGAUGCUGGGAGCGGCGGGCGCCAUCGCCCCGGAGGUCUUCGGGAAGCUGGGCAUCAUCCCGCCGGAGACGGCGCUGCCGUGGUUCAAGACGGGGGUGAUCCCGCCGGCGGGCACCUACAACUACUGGGCCGACUCCUACACGCUCUUCGUCUUCAACAUGGCGCUCAUGGGCUUCGCCGAGCACCGCCGCCUCCAGGACUGGUACAACCCGGGCUCCAUGGGCAAGCAGUACUUCCUCGGCCUCGAGAAGUUCCUCGCCGGCUCCGGCGACCCGUCCUACCCCGGCGGCCCACUCUUCAACCCGCUCGGCUUCGGCAAGACCGAGAAGGAGAUGAAUGAGCUCAAGCUCAAGGAGAUCAAGAACGGCAGGCUCGCCAUGCUCGCCAUCCUCGGCUACUUCAUCCAGGGGCUCGUCACCGGCGUCGGCCCGUUCCAGAACCUGCUCGACCACCUCUCCGACCCCGUCAACAACAACGUGCUCACCAGCCUCAAGUUCCACUAGAACGUCCGUUGGUUGCUGCAUCAUACCUGUUGUUCAUAUGCUCUGGCUUGG
rnacentral:lncRNA from 1 species